GAUGAACGCUGACAGAAUGCUUAACACAUGCAAGUCAACUUAAACUUCGGUUUGGGUGGCGGACGGGUGAGUAACGCGUAAAGAACUUGCCUCACAGAUAGGGACAACAUUUGGAAACGAAUGCUAAUACCUGAUAUUAUGAUUUUAGGGCAUCCUAGGAUUAUGAAAGCUAUAUGCGCUGUGAGAGAGCUUUGCGUCCCAUUAGCUAGUUGGAGAGGUAACGGCUCACCAAGGCGAUGAUGGGUAGCCGGCCUGAGAGGGUGAUCGGCCACAAGGGGACUGAGACACGGCCCUUACUCCUACGGGAGGCAGCAGUGGGGAAUAUUGGACAAUGGACCAAGAGUCUGAUCCAGCAAUUCUGUGUGCACGAUGAAGUUUUUCGGAAUGUAAAGUGCUUUCAGUUGGGAAGAAAAAAAUGACGGUACCAACAGAAGAAGUGACGGCUAAAUACGUGCCAGCAGCCACGGUAAUACGUAUGUCACAAGCGUUAUCCGGAUUUAUUGGGCGUAAAGCGCGUCUAGGUGGUUAUAUAAGUCUGAUGUGAAAAUGCAGGGCUCAACUCUGUAUUGCGUUGGAAACUGUGUAACUAGAGUACUGGAGAGGUAAGCGGAACUACAAGUGUAGAGGUGAAAUUCGUAGAUAUUUGUAGGAAUGCCGAUGGGGAAGCCAGCUUACUGGACAGAUACUGACGCUGAAGCGCGAAAGCGUGGGUAGCAAACAGG
rnacentral:rRNA from 1 species